GUAGGGUCCGAGCGUUGUCCGGAAUUAUUGGGCGUAAAGGGCUCGUAGGCGGUUUGUCGCGUCGGGAGUGAAAACUCAGGGCUCAACCCUGAGCGUGCUUCCGAUACGGGCAGACUAGAGGUAUGCAGGGGAGAACGGAAUUCCUGGUGUAGCGGUGGAAUGCGCAGAUAUCAGGAGGAACACCGGUGGCGAAGGCGGUUCUCUGGGCAUUACCUGACGCUGAGGAGCGAAAGCAUGGGGAGCGAACAGGAUUAGAUACCCUGGUAGUCCAUGCCGUAAACGUUGGGCGCUAGGUGUGGGGACCUUCCACGGUCUCCGUGCCGCAGCUAACGCAUUAAGCGCCCCGCCUGGGGAGUACGGCCGCAAGGCUAAA
rnacentral:rRNA from 1 species